UUAUGUACUGCCCUAUGGAGAGGCACACAUGUCAAGAAACUGAGGGAGUGCCUUCCAGUCAACAGCCAGCCAGGAACUAAGGUGCUCAGUACAGCAGCCUCCACAAAGGACUGAACAAUGCCAACAGCUAUUUGACUGUGCUUGGAAGAUCUCCGUUUAGUUAACCCUUCAGAUGAGACCGCAGCCCUGGCCAGCAAACAAAUUGCAGCCUAUGGAAAGACCUUAAGGCAGAAGCACCCAACUGAACCACCCGAGGGCUCUGACUUACAGAAACUGUGAGCAUAUAGUGAAAUGGCCUCUACCUUAUUUUGAAUGGAUUUCUGGGAUAAAGUUCUUCAGUGAUAACAUGUUUGAAGUAAGUAACAAUUAAGUUAUCUUAGUCCUCACUAAUAAUGUUCAUAGAGCAAUUGGUGUUUCUUUCUGAGUUAAUAACAAACAUUUGCAGCCAAACCAUAGGACUCUGAAGAUAAAGCAAUUGGCAAGAAACGGUAUGUUUAAAUACCAGAAAAUAGCCCAUAUCCAAACAGGUGUGCGAUAAAACAGUAUAAAUAAACUGCUCUGUAUGCAGUUUAG
rnacentral:lncRNA from 10 species